rnacentral:RNase_P_RNA from 1 species
CGGCAGGGCCAAGGCUGCCUUUGAGAAAGCGCGCGUCAAGGAUGGCAAGGACAUGCUGCCGAAGCUGGUGGCCGAGUGCGACAAGAUCGACUUCGGCGACUGACUAAGAGCAAGGGUGAAAGGGUGCGGCAAGAGCGCACCGCGCGACUGGUAACAGAAGCGGCAUGGCAAACCCCACCGGGAGCAAGACCGAAUAGGGACGGCACAUGAGGUGUUCCGCCUCGUCGUCCGGGUUGGUUGCUUGAGGGGCGGAGCAAUCCGUCCCCUAGAGGAAUGGCCGCACAUCGCUUUAGGGCGAGGACAGAACCCGGCUUAUAGACCCUCUGGCAUU